rnacentral:rRNA from 1 species
AAGUGAUGAUUAUUGGAGGUAGAGCACUGUUUGGACGAGGGGCCCCUCUCGGGUUACCGAAUUCAGACAAACUCCGAAUGCCAAUUAAUUUAACUUGGGAGUCAGAACAUGGGUGAUAAGGUCCGUGUUCGAAAGGGAAACAGCCCAGACCACCAGCUAAGGUCCCAAAAUAUAUGUUAAGUGGAAAAGGAUGUGGCGUUGCCCAGACAACUAGGAUGUUGGCUUAGAAGCAGCCAUCAUUUAAAGAGUGCGUAAUAGCUCACUAGUCGAGUGACACUGCGCCGAAAAUGUACCGGGGCUAAACAUAUUACCGAAGCUGUGGAUUGUCCUUUGGACAAUGGUAGGAGAGCGUUCU